GAGUUUGAUCCUGGCUCAGACUGAACGCUGGCGGCAUGCCUUACACAUGCAAGUCGAACGGCAGCACGGGAGCUUGCUCCUGGUGGCGAGUGGCGAACGGGUGAGUAAUGCAUCGGAACGUAUCCUGGAGUGGGGGAUAACGUAGCGAAAGUUACGCUAAUACCGCAUAUUCUGUGAGCAGGAAAGCGGGGGACCUUCGGGCCUCGCGCUCUUGGAGCGGCCGAUGUCGGAUUAGCUAGUUGGUGAGGUAAAGGCUCACCAAGGCGACGAUCCGUAGCAGGUCUGAGAGGAUGAUCUGCCACACUGGAACUGAGACACGGUCCAGACUCCUACGGGAGGCAGCAGUGGGAAUUUUGGACAAUGGGGGCAACCCUGAUCCAGCCAUGCCGCGUGAGUGAAGAAGGCC
rnacentral:rRNA from 1 species